rnacentral:rRNA from 1 species
UACGUAGGGUGCAAGCGUUGUCCGGAAUUAUUGGGCGUAAAGAGCUCGUAGGCGGUGUGUCGCGUCGGAUGUGAAAGCCCGGGGCUUAACCCCGGGUCUGCAUUCGGUACGGGCAUGCUGGAGUUCGGUAGGGGAGACUGGAAUUCCUGGUGUAGCGGUGAAAUGCGCAGAUAUCAGGAGGAACACCGGUGGCGAAGGCGGGUCUCUGGGCCGAUACUGACGCUGAGGAGCGAAAGCGUGGGGAGCGAACAGG